rnacentral:lncRNA from 1 species
GGGUGAUAGUGGGUCCCUUUGGGGUCAUAUGGGGCAGCUAUGGGGUGAUGUGGGGUGAUAUGGGGCAGCUAUGGGGAAGCAAUGGGGCAGCUAUGGGGCGCUGUGGGGCAGUUAUGGGGCAGAGCUGUGGGGCAGUUAUGGGGCACUGUGGGGCAGUUAUGGGGCAGCUAUGGGGCGCUGUGGGGCAGUUAUGGGGCAGCUAUGGGGCGCUGUGGGGCAGGGCCAAGUGGACGCCGGCGGAGCUGGAGCUGCUGCGCGCGGCCGUGCGGCGCUUUGGGGACGACCUGCAGCGCAUCAGCGCCAUCAUCAGGGAGCGCACGCUGUAAGGGGGCGGCCCCAAAGCCCCCACAAAAACCCCAAACACCCCGACCGCCCCGACGACCCCAAAGCCCAGCCCCACCCCCACCCCCUUCUGACCCCAAAUCCCCAAAAUCCCAGCCCCCAAAUCCCCAAAUUCUGCCCCAAAAUGGACCCAAACUGACCCCAAAAUGGACCCAAGUGGACCCCAAAUGGACCCCAAAUUUACCCCAAAAAGGACCCAAAUCGACCCCCAAAAUGAACCCAAAUGGACCCCAAAUGGACCCC